rnacentral:rRNA from 1 species
UACGGGGGGGGGCAAGCGUUGUUCGGAAUUACUGGGCGUAAAGGGUGCGUAGGAGGGCAGGUAAGUCAGUGGUGAAAUCUCCGAGCUUAACUUGGAACUGCCGUUGAUACUAUCUGUCUUGAAUAUUGUGGAGGUGAGCGGGAUAUGUCAUGUAGCGGUGAAAUGCUUAGAUAUGACAUAGAACACCAAUUGCGAAGGCAGCUCGCUACACAUAUAUUGACUCUGAGGCACGAAAGCGUGGGGAUCAAAACAGG